UUGACCUCAAAUCAGGUAGGACUACCCGCUGAACUUAAGCAUAUCAAUAAGCGGAGGAAAAGAAACUAACAAGGAUUCCCCUAGUAACUGCGAGUGAAGCGGGAAAAGCUCAAAUUUAAAAUCUGGCGGUUCUGCCGUCCGAGUUGUAAUUUAGAGAAGUGCUAUCCGCGCUGGACCGUGUACAAGUCUCCUGGAAUGGAGCGUCAUAGAGGGUGAGAAUCCCGUCUUUGACACGGACUACCAGGGCAUUGUGAUACGCUCUCAAAGAGUCGAGUUGUUUGGGAUUGCAGCUCAAAAUGGGUGGUAAAUUCCAUCUAAAGCUAAUAUUGGGGAGAGACCGAUAGCGAACAAGUACCGUGAGGGAAAGAUGAAAAGAACUUUGGAAAGAGAGUUAAACAGUACGUGAAAUUGCUGAAAGGGAAACGCUUGAAGUCAGUCGCGUCGUUCAGGAUUCAGCUUUAGCUUCUGCUAGGUGUAUUUCCUGUUUGACGGGUCAGCAUCAGUUUUGGCCGGUGGAUAAAGGCUCAGAGAAUGUGGCAUCCUCGGAUGUGUUAUAGCUCUGGGUCGCAUACAUCGGCUGGGACUGAGGAACUCAGCA
rnacentral:rRNA from 1 species